CACUUGAAUAUAUAUAGGUAGGAUUCAUAAAAAAGCAACAAGCUGAGAAAAUGUUUAGAUUACAUCCAUCAGUAAUCCCAAAGCUUGCACAGGCCUUUACCACAUUCUGAAUUGAUAUUUCACUCCGUUUUCAUUUAUAUGCAGUUAGCGUUGGUGAUCGCAUUAUUUUUCAUAUGCAUACAUUUGAGAUCGCUCCUUUCUGCGUCUUCAUGGUCUGUGUUGUUGAGCGCACUUUCUAUGUAGACUCAUAAGCAUAAUAGUGCCCCCUAGCGUAUAACAGUGGAAACUCUGAACAUUUCGUGUUUGGUGGGAAAAGUUUAAAUAUUGCGGCUUUAAAUGGUUCAGAACAACUAAAAUAAAAUUAAAAAAACUUAAUCAGUCCAUAAAGUCAAAUCUAGACAAACAUUCCUUAACAACGCUUGUCUGUUUCUUAUAAAUGUCGUUUUUCUGAAAUGAAGGAAGCUCUGGAUACUCACCUCAGUAUCUGACAUCUGAACAGAUUCAUAAGUGUCCCACAAUCAUGAAAACACAGAUAUGAUCAGGGAAUUUUUAAAUCUAUAUGCUUCCAGCUCUAGAAGAUGUUAUAAAAAGAAUAAAAGUUUAAAUCUUCGAAAUGUCUUUAUCUUGGGCUGUCCUGGUUGUGAGCUUUUGGCUAAUGAUUGAUUGUUAAAUUAUUAUGAACAAUUUAUUAGUUACUGAUUAAUACCCAUACACAGUUAAUGGGUUAAUUUAUUCAUAAUAAAUAUAAAUAAUCAUUUUUUUUUAUAUUUUAGAUGCACAUUUAUUCAUAUUUGGUUAAAAUUCCCUCAUUUGGAUGGUAAUAUGAUUGGACUUUCAAAAGCACAUUGAGCAAAGUCCAAAAACAAGCCAUAUGCAAAAUAUUUCCUCUGCUAGAAGCUGUGAUUUGUGCAUGCAUUUUUGAUUAGUUUUUUGUUACAUGACCAGGACAAACGUGUUGAUCUCACGUGUGUUUGGUCCUCCAACAGCUUCACCAGUUCACUUCAUCACUGACCUCUUUUGUAGCUUGCAGUAAUAAAUUCAAUAAAACCUUCACAAACUAGAAAUAAAA